CAGUGCGUCGCCCGACGUCUGCCGUGCAUCACGUGUGACUCCUUGAAGCUGGUCUCCCAUCUCUUCAGCAGCUUGCAGCCUUGGGGUGUCUUCGAUUUCUUCUUGAAGAUGAAGGUUUUCCAAAGAUGGCUGUCUUCAUCAGUGCCUUAUCAUCGAGGAGCUAGGCGUCGAAGAUAUCAGCUGCUUCCAGUCGAGGAUGCAAACCUAAGGAUUGAUAAUACAGGACACGUGGCACACGGCGCCACUUGAGCGCGCUGCGACGGGGCGCAAGUGGCGCCACCAACACCUGAAGCGCCAAAGUCAACCUCACCUGCACGCGGCGCGCCCUGCUCACACCGACGAGGCUCUGGCAUCCUUUCUCCCUUACCAUGCUCUCAAAUCUUAAAGAUUUCAGAAGCAGAGUUUGGGAGAAAAUAGUUUGUAAGAUUAAUAUAAGUUUUCUAUUCUUAUAAUAAAAAUAAAUAAGAGAAAGACGUUUACUUAAUCCUGUAUCAUGUCAUGUGUAUUAAAUGUAUGUAUAAGCCUA